rnacentral:rRNA from 1 species
AUACGGAGGAUGCGAGCGUUGUCCGGAAUUACUGGGCGUAAAGAGCUCGUAGGUGGUUUGUCGCGUCGUCUGUGAAAUUCCGGGGCUUAACUCCGGGCGUGCAGGCGAUACGGGCAUAACUUGAGUACUGUAGGGGAGACUGGAAUUCCUGGUGUAGCGGUGAAAUGCGCAGAUAUCAGGAGGAACACCGGUGGCGAAGGCGGGUCUCUGGGCAGUAACUGACGCUGAGGAGCGAAAGCAUGGGUAGCGAACAGGAUUAGAUACCCUGGUAGUCCAUGCCGUAAACGGUGGGCGCUAGGUGUAGGGGUCUUCCACGACUUCUGUGCCGUAGCUAACGCAUUAAGCGCCCCGCCUGGGGAGUACGGCCGCAAGGCUAAAACUCAAAUGAAUUGACGGGG